UACGUAGGGGGCAAGCGUUGUCCGGAAUCAUUGGGCGUAAAGCGAGCGUAGGCGGCCCGAUAAGUCUGCUGUGAAAGUCAACGGCUCAAACGUUGAAAGCCGGUGGAUACUGUCGGGCUAGAGUUCGGAAGAGGCAAGUGGAAUUCCUGGUGUAGCGGUGGAAUGCGCAGAUAUCAGGAGGAACACCCAUAGCGAAGGCAGCUUGCUGGGACGAUACUGACGCUAAGGCUCGAAAGCGUGGGGAGCGAACAGG
rnacentral:rRNA from 1 species